AUGGCCUCCUCCUUCCUCUCCCUACGCCUCCCUACCCCCUCCCCGCCCACCGCGACGUCGUCCCCGUUCUUCCCGAAUCCCCUAGUCCGGUCUGGAAGGUGCAGUCCGCCGUCCUCUACCCUCGUGGCGCGUGUUGCCGGGUCGGCGGCGGGGGCUCCGUCGCCGUUGUUCAACCCGAGGGGCGACCCGUUCCUAUCCACGCUAGCCGCUGCUUCUCCAGAGCAGCUAGCGGCAGCUGCGGGUGGCGAACGCCGCGGCGAGGACCACCUUCCGUUCCUCGAGAUCUUCCAGAACGCCAAGCUCAUGUCCUCGCCCGCGCAGGUGGAACGUUCUAGCAGCUCUUACAGUCAGCACAGUCCUAGAAGGCCUCCUCCGGAUUUGCCAUCGUUGCUUCUACAUGGACGGAUCGUUUAUAUUGGCAUGCCGUUGGUUCCAGCAGUUACCGAGCUUAUUGUUGCCCAGUUGAUGUACCUUGAUUGGAUGAAUAGUAGUGAGCCUGCAUAUAUAUACAUCAACUCAACAGGAACGGCUCGUGAUGAUGGUGAACCAGUUGGAAUGGAGACAGAAGGUUUUGCUAUAUAUGAUGCCAUGAUGCGGAUGAAAACUGAGGUUCACACACUUUGUAUAGGAGCUGCAGCUGGUCAUGCCUGCCUUGUCCUUUCAGCAGGGAAGAAAGGCAAACGCUAUAUGUUUCCCCAUGCCAAAGCUUUGAUUCAGCAACCUCGUAUUCCUUCAUAUGGGAUGAUGCAAGCCUCUGAUGUUGUUAUUCGUGCAAAAGAGGUCGUGCACAACAGGAACACCCUGGUCAAACUUCUAGCAAGGCACACUGGAAAUCCACCGGAGAAAAUAGACAAGGUGAUGAGAGGGCCAUUUUAUAUGGACUCUUUGAAAGCCAAGGAGUUUGGGGUAAUUGACAAGAUCCUUUGGCGCGGUCAGGAGAAGUACAUGUCUGACAUGCUCUCCCCUGAGGAUUGGGACAAGGUUGCUGGAGUCAGAGGCCCCGGUGGAAUGUGA
rnacentral:rRNA from 1 species